rnacentral:tRNA from 1 species
GCCCGGAUAGCUCAGUCGGUACUAGGCAUUAGGCUUUUAACCUAAGGGUCCAGGGUUCGAGUCCCUGUUUGGGCG